UGGCCUGGCAGGGUUCCUGGGUGGAGCUGACUGGUUGCAGGAGGAGGGACAUUCAACAGCCAUCCUGACACCACAGCCCAGGGCUUGGCUCCUUGCUUCUGUCUCCAGCAGCCAGACAAGCACCAUGAAAAGGCUGCUGUGCUCUCUGCUGGGGCUGCUGUGCACCCAGGUUUGCUGGGUGAAAGGUCAACAAGUGGAGCAGAGUCCUGUGUCCUUGGUUCUGCAGGAGGGGGAGCGUGCAGAGCUGCAGUGCAACUUUUCCACCACUUUAUACCAAAUGCAGUGGUUUCACCAAAGUCCUGGGGGACGCCUCAUCAGCCUGCUUUCCAAUCCUUCUGGAACAAAGCAGAGUGGAAGACUGACGUCUACAACAGUAGUUAACGAAUAUCGAAGUUCUCUGUACAUUUCUUCCUCUCAGACCACAGACUCUGGCACUUAUUUCUGUGCUAGGGAUCCACAGUGCUCCCCACACACCUGCAGCCAGUACACAAACCUUCAGCUGAGUGGACUUGCAACCUCAGGAGUGAGCCAAGGUGAGCAGGUGGAGCAGCAUCCUUCCACCCUGAGAGUCCAGGAGGGAGCCAGCGCGGUCAUCAACUGCACUUAUGUAGACAGUACCUCAGACUACUUCUCUUUGUAUAAGCAAGGACCUGGAGAGCAUCCUCAGCUUGCCAUUGACAUUCGUUCAACUGUGGAAAGAAAGCAGGAGUAA